GGAGACGUCGCAUAGUGGCCUAGUGCGCCUCCCUGCUAAGGAGGUUGGGGUGGAAGCCCCUCGGGGGUUCGAAUCCCCCCGUCUCCGCCG
rnacentral:tRNA from 1 species